CAAAAGAUGAAAAAACAGAAAACAACGAGUGUUGGUUUCCAGGGAAAAGCUCUUAACCCCUUCGGGAAGGACCUUCGGACAGUACAAAUGGAAUGCAAAGUCAAUCCCCGAGCCCUUCUUGGUCAUACACGUUCACAGCGGUGGUAACAGAAGGGAAUGACGGCUGUAACUGAUCAUCUGAAGUAACGAAUGGUCUGCGAACAAAUUCUUCCUCUCCGUUUCAAUUUUAAAUGCUUCGACACACACCAGCCCUCAGUGCAGAGAAAAUCACGGUGUUUAUUUAGAUAAAACUUAAACUUUCAAACGUAAAAGUGAAC
ensembl:lncRNA